GUGUCAGCAGCCGCGGUAAUACGUAGGUGGCAAGCGUUGUCCGGAAUUAUUGGGCGUAAAGCGCGCGCAGGCGGCUUCUUAAGUCUGAUGUGAAAGGCUGCGGCUCAACCGCAGACGGUCAUUGGAAACUGGGAGACUUGAGUGCAGAAGAGGAAAGUGGAAUUCCAAGUGUAGCGGUGAAAUGCGUAGAGAUUUGGAGGAACACCAGUGGCGAAGGCGACUUUCUGGUCUGCAACUGACGCUGAGGCGCGAAAGC
rnacentral:rRNA from 1 species